CAACAACCUACACAUGACUGAUUUCAUGGCCAUUGCAAAAGGGGCUCUCUCCCCAGUCCAUUUCAAGGGACAAUAAAUGAAAAAUUCACACAUGCCUGUCAAGUCCAUACCAGAGGCAAGUUCAUGUUCCAGGCUGCAUCAGAAACAGAAAGCAGAGGUCCAGGCAGAAGAGAAGCCAGUUGGGAGGAACAAUGGAGGACAAUUGGGAAGUCCAUUGCCAGUCAUAACAAAUAUUCGACUUGAGCCAAGUCAGACAUCAGGAUUAAACAAAGGCAAAGACUACAAAUGAGAACUGGGUUGUUUACAGUAAGAACUAGAGCACAACCAUCAACUGGGUGUUCACCUUCCCACCUGUGCAAGGGAACUGAAGAGUUCUAGGAUGACCGUAUCUUAAACAGUUGGGUUUCCACCUCUUCUCCUGCUUCUUCCACACAAAGCCUGCAAUCUAGUCCCAAAAGACUAACAAAGAUGCACAAACAGGGCAGGAAGUAGUGAAUUAUUUUAAAAUGUUUGUUCAGACUCAUUUACAGAUGCUUGAAAAAUGUUCAUUGUUAAGUCAGAGGAUUUACUGAAUGAACAGAAAACUGCCCCAACUACAGCUGUUUAAAACACAGAAUUCCCAUCCUACCAGAAAAUCCAAUAUUUUGUUUUCUUGCUGAAACUAAAUAAAAAGUCAAAAUAUGAAAAGUUGUCAUG